AAAAUACCUCCGGUGACUGUGUUUAUUCCUGGUUGAACGAGAUUAGAACCAGUACUUGGGUUAACUGUAGAAUCAACACUUGUCAUCCCCUCUUGUUGCGCUUUAAAUUGCAAAUAUCUAGCCUUAUCGCUAGGGUGUAAUUUUAUAUGCUUAACUAAACUACCCGUGCCGCUACGAUCUCCAGUAUACCUAUGAACAAGUACUAGGGUGUAAUUUUAUAUGCUUAGUCAAACUACCCGUGCCGCUACGGUCACCAGUAUACCUAUGAACAAGUAAUUUCCCACAAGUUUUAUACUUAGCCUU
rnacentral:lncRNA from 1 species